GGGUACUUGGUCGAGUCAGGUUUAAGGCGCUCGUUUUGAAAACGAGUACUUGCAAAAGUCGUGAGUUCAAAUCUCACAGUGUCCG
rnacentral:tRNA from 1 species